rnacentral:tRNA from 1 species
GGGGUUGUAGUUAACAAUAACAUUUAAUUUGCAUUUAAAAGGAACUUUUAGUCUUCCUCA